rnacentral:rRNA from 1 species
GAUGAACGCUGGCGGCGUGCCUAAUACAUGCAAGUCGAGCGAACAGACGAGGAGCUUGCUCCUUUGACGUUAGCGGCGGACGGGUGAGUAACACGUAGGUAACCUACCUAUAAGACUGGGAUAACUUCGGGAAACCGGAGCUAAUACCGGAUAAUAUUUCGAACCGCAUGGUUCGAUAGUGAAAGAUGGCCUUGCUAUCACUUAUAGAUGGAUCUGCGCCGCAUUAGCUAGUUGGUAAGGUAACGGCUUACCAAGGCAACGAUACGUAGCCGACCUGAGAGGGUGAUCGGCCACACUGGAACUGAGACACGGUCCAGACUCCUACGGGAGGCAGCAGUAGGGAAUCUUCCGCAAUGGGCGAAAGCCUGACGGAGCAACGCCGCGUGAGUGAUGAAGGUCUUCGGAUCGUAAAACUCUGUUAUUAGGGAAGAACAAACGUGUAAGUAACUGUGCACGUCUUGACGGUACCUAAUCAGAAAGCCACGGCUAACUACGUG